rnacentral:lncRNA from 1 species
CAAAGUACCCAACAGAACAACACUCAUUUUUAUUCCUUUUUUCUCCCUGUUCCGGUUAAUAUUACAAUAGCAAUAUGAAUUAAGAAAAUAUUUUCUGUAGAGUUGAUUAGUUUUUGAUUUAUAGAAAAGACAGUAAAGAUGGUCACUUGGUGAUAGAAGAAGAAAUAAUGGAGAGAGUGAUCGGAAAAAUUUGGAGACGCAUCAAAGUAAAAGAAGAAGAGUGCUAAAAAGUUACUGAAAAGAGAGAGGAGGGAGCCAAGAAAGUCUUACAAGUUGGAUAAUUAAGUUUGUUCUAAGCCCUUUUGGUAUUUUACAUGCUUUGAAGAGAGUAACUUCACUUGUUGUACCACAUCAUCAUUUAAGUGAGAAUUAAAUUUAGUAUGAACAAGUAUAUAAUGGAAAAAUGACACCCGUAAAGGUUGAGAUGGAAACUCACUUUUCAGGACAAGUUUGGGGAGCAACUUAUGUAUUUUCCCUAACUUCUAUUCCCAUAAAAAAAUCUACUAAAUUAUACUGUCAAUUAUCAAUAUUCUUACUAUUCUUUAUUAUUGGAAGAACUACUCUUUCCUGCGGGAAGAAGAGAAAAGGUCCUGUCAAGUCGGUCCGCUAACGCCUUAUCUUCCUAUUUAUAAGCCACAGCUUACUUCGACGUUUUCAAUUUCCCAUAGAGGAACUGCUUCCUGCGUCUGCGGCCGUUGCAGCUAAACUAACGGAGGAAGGAGGAGGGGAGGGGGGGAGGGGGGACAUUAAAUGAAUUUUUGUUAACACAGAACUGGAAGAGGUACAGCAAUUAUUAAUUUCUGUUUUCUUAUUCUUAGUUUAAUUCUUUGUUAUCGUUAUUCCUUUUUCAUAUUAAUUAUAUUCGACAAAGUGAAGUAAGUUGGUUGUUAGAAACUCAAAUUAUUCUAUUUAUUUGUUUUAACUUCAAAUCCUAUUUUUUGAGUCAAACAAAUUGGUUUUAUUAUAAAAAAUCUAACAAUCAUUUCACUUUCUAUUUAUAUAUUUUAUCUUUAGCAAUAAAUUAUGUUUGAAACUGACCAAAUUACUCAACAGGGGAAUGGACAAGGGGGAUCUCCUCUACAAAAUUCAUCCACACAUUCUCCACAACGCUACGUGGAAAUUCACCCAUUAGAUCUGCUAGUCACAACAUCGAUCAGCAAAAUUAAGAACAAUUUGGUUUGCACGAUGAUUUAAAGCAAUUCAUCGCUCGAUAGAUUGGUGAUGCUUUACGAGCCUUGACGGGAAGUGUGCGAAAUGUAGUUCCAGUUUCACCAUCAGUUAAUACAACUAUAGAAAAUCCCAAUUUGGGGCUUGAAAACACAGGAGUGGGGAUGUCACGACUCAAUUCCCACUAUAGAUCGUG